GACGAACGCUGGCGGCGUGCUUAACACAUGCCAGUCGAACGGAAAGGCCCUGCUUUUGUGGGGUGCUCGAGUGGCGAACGGGUGAGUAACACGUGAGUAACCUGCCCUUGACUUUGGGAUAACUUCAGGAAACUGGGGCUAAUACCGGAUAGGAGCUCCUGCUGCAUGGUGGGGGUUGGAAAGUUUCGGCGGUUGGGGAUGGACUCGCGGCUUAUCAGCUUGUUGGUGGGGUAGUGGCUUACCAAGGCUUUGACGGGUAGCCGGCCUGAGAGGGUGACCGGCAACAUGGGGACUGAGAUACGGCCCAGAAUCCUACGGGAGGCAGCAGUGGGGAAUAUUGCACAAUGGGGGGAAGCCUGAUGCAGCAACGCCGCGUGCGGGAUGACGGCCUUCGGGUUGUAAACCGCUUUCGCCUGUGACGAAGCGUGAGUGACGGUAAUGGGUAAAGAAGCACCGGCUAACUACGUG
rnacentral:rRNA from 1 species